CUCUCUCCUUCGACGAAGCUCUUCUCCUUCGACGAAGCUCUCAAGAGCUGAGCUUCAACGAAGCUUCAACAAAGCUUUGUUCUCUCAGAAUCUCUUCAUCGUUUCAUUGUCUCUCUUGUUCAUCAUCGCUUCAUCGUUUUGGCCAAAUGGAGAAUUCUUGACAUGAAGCACCCUAAGUAUGAGCUGAAUAAAUGGAUUAAGAUUGUGACAGCAACAAUGGCUCUCCAUAAUUUUAUCAAAGAUUCACAAGAGGAUGAUAUUGGUUUUUUACAUUGGGAAGUGGUGGAAUCAUAUGAACAUCAUGGUGAUGAAAAUGAUGGACAUGUUCCAUACAUACCUGCUGGUGAUAGAAUGAUGGAAGAUGUGCGUGAUUCUAUCACUAUGGAGAUGGCAGAAGGAACUACACUUCUAUAUUAGAAGGAAACAUUUGGGAGUUGAAUGAUUACACAGAUUCUUUCCCAUUCCAAGCCAAAAGUGAUUCUUCUGCUUCAAUUCUAAGUCUCUUGCUCGUGUUCUUGAGCAGUUCAGCUUCUCCUUCACUUCACAAGUCUUUAUUGUAAAAACUUAUAUAAAAAAUUGUUAUAAAUAAUUUACAAAUA